GAUGAAGAACGUAGCGAAAUGCGAUACUUGGUGUGAAUUGCAGAAUCCCGUGAACCAUCGAGUCUUUGAACGCAAGUUGCGCCCGAAGCCAUUAGGCCGAGGGCACGCCUGCCUGGGCGUCACACGUCGUUGCCCCCCCAUCUACUCCUUCGGGAUUGCGGGGGGCGGAUGAUGGCCUCCCGUGCGCCUCGUCGCGCGGUUGGCAUAAAUGCCAAGUCCUCGGCGACGCACGCCACGACAAUCGGUGGUUGCGAAACCUCGGUUGCCCGUCGUGUGCGGUCGUCGCGCAUCGAGGGCUCGAAAAAAUUGUCGGGCUCCGGCUCGGCUUUCAACGCGACCCGAGGUCAGGCGGGGUUACCCGCUGAAUUUAAGCAUAUGAAUAAGCGGAGGA
rnacentral:misc_RNA from 1 species